rnacentral:rRNA from 1 species
UACGUAGGGGGCUAGCGUUGUCCGGAAUCAUUGGGCGUAAAGAGCGUGUAGGCGGCCCGAUAAGUCCGCCGUGAAAGUCCAGGGCUCAACCCCGGAAUGCCGGUGGAAACUGUCGGGCUGGAGUCCGGAAGAGGCGAGUGGAAUUCCUGGUGUAGCGGUGAAAUGCGCAGAUAUCAGGAGGAACACCAAUGGCGAAGGCAGCUCGCUGGGACGGUACUGACGCUGAGACGCGAAAGCGUGGGGAGCAAACAGG